rnacentral:rRNA from 1 species
GACGAACGCUGGCGGCGUGCCUAAUACAUGCAAGUCGAACGCACAGUUUAUACCGUAGCUUGCUACACCAUAGACUGUGAGUUGCGAACGGGUGAGUAACGCGUAGGUAACCUGCCUGGUAGCGGGGGAUAACUAUUGGAAACGAUAGCUAAUACCGCAUAAUAUUGAUUAUUGCAUGAUAAUUAAUUGAAAGGUGCAAUUGCACCACUACCAGAUGGACCUGCGUUGUAUUAGCUAGUAGGUGAGGUAACGGCUCACCUAGGCGGCGAUACAUAGCCGACCUGCGAGGGUGAGCGGCCACACUGGGACUGAGACACGGCCCAGACGCCUACGGGAGGCAGCAGGAGGGAAUCUUCGGCAAGGGACGAAAGUCAGACCGAGCAACGCCGCAUGAGUGAAGAAGGAUUUCGGAUCGUAAAGCUCUGUUGUAAGAGAAGAACGGGUGUGAGAGUGGAAAGUUCACACUGUGACGGUAUCUGACCAGAAAGGGACGGCUAACUACGUG